UUAUGUCGGAAGUUUUACUGAGAAUGUUGUUACAAGGGAAGUGGUCCUUUCAAAUUAACCCCAGAGCCCUCCCGAGUAUGCUGAGACCCCAGACCCAAAUUAACCCCAGAGCCCUCCCGAGUAUGCUGAGACCCCAGACCCAAAUUAACCCCAGAGCCCUCCCGAGUAUGCUGAGACCCCAGACCCAAAUUAACCCCAGAGCCCUCCCGAGUAUGCUGAGACCCCAGACCCAAAUUAACCCCAGAGCCCUCCCGAGUAUGCUGAGACCCCAGACCCAAAUUAACCCCAGAGCCCUCCCGAGUAUGCUGAGACCCCAGACCCAAAUUAACCCCAGAGCCCUCCCGAGUAUGCUGAGACCCCAGACCCAAAUUAACCCCAGAGCCCUCCCGAGUAUGCUGAGACCCCAGACCCAAAUUAACCCCAGAGCCCUCCCGAGUAUGCUGAGACCCCAGACCCAAAUUAACCCCAGAGCCCUCCCGAGUAUGCUGAGACCCCAGACCCAAAUUAACCCCAGAGCCCUCCCGAGUAUGCUGAGACCCCAGACCCAAAUUAACCCCAGAGCCCUCCCGAGUAUGCUGAGACCCCAGACCCAAAUUAACCCCAGAGCCCUCCCGAGUAUGCUGAGACCCCAGACCCAAAUUAACCCCAGAGCCCUCCCGAGUAUGCUGAGACCCCAGACCCAAAUUAACCCCAGAGCCCUCCCGAGUAUGCUGAGACCCCAGACCCAAAUUAACCCCAGAGCCCUCCCGAGUAUGCUGAGACCCCAGACCCAAAUUAACCCCAGAGCCCUCCCGAGUAUGCUGAGACCCCAGACCCAAAUUAACCCCAGAGCCCUCCCGAGUAUGCUGAGACCCCAGACCCAAAUUAACCCCAGAGCCCUCCCGAGUAUGCUGAGACCCCAGACCCAAAUUAACCCCAGAGCCCUCCCGAGUAUGCUGAGACCCCAGACCCAAAUUAACCCCAGAGCCCUCCCGAGUAUGCUGAGACCCCAGACCCAAAUUAACCCCAGAGCCCUCCCGAGUAUGCUGAGACCCCAGACCCAAAUUAACCCCAGAGCCCUCCCGAGUAUGCUGAGACCCCAGACCCAAAUUAACCCCAGAGCCCUCCCGAGUAUGCUGAGACCCCAGACCCAAAUUAACCCCAGAGCCCUCCCGAGUAUGCUGAGACCCCAGACCCAAAUUAACCCCAGAGCCCUCCCGAGUAUGCUGAGACCCCAGACCCAAAUUAACCCCAGAGCCCUCCCGAGUAUGCUGAGACCCCAGACCCAAAUUAACCCCAGAGCCCUCCCGAGUAUGCUGAGACCCCAGACCCAAAUUAACCCCAGAGCCCUCCCGAGUAUGCUGAGACCCCAGACCCAAAUUAACCCCAGAGCCCUCCCGAGUAUGCUGAGACCCCAGACCCAAAUUAACCCCAGAGCCCUCCCGAGUAUGCUGAGACCCCAGACCCAAAUUAACCCCAGAGCCCUCCCGAGUAUGCUGAGACCCCAGACCCAAAUUAACCCCAGAGCCCUCCCGAGUAUGCUGAGACCCCAGACCCAAAUUAACCCCAGAGCCCUCCCGAGUAUGCUGAGACCCCAGACCCAAAUUAACCCCAGAGCCCUCCCGAGUAUGCUGAGACCCCAGACCCAAAUUAACCCCAGAGCCCUCCCGAGUAUGCUGAGACCCCAGACCCAAAUUAACCCCAGAGCCCUCCCGAGUAUGCUGAGACCCCAGACCCAAAUUAACCCCAGAGCCCUCCCGAGUAUGCUGAGACCCCAGACCCAAAUUAACCCCAGAGCCCUCCCGAGUAUGCUGAGACCCCAGACCCAAAUUAACCCCAGAGCCCUCCCGAGUAUGCUGAGACCCCAGACCCAAAUUAACCCCAGAGCCCUCCCGAGUAUGCUGAGACCCCAGACCCAAAUUAACCCCAGAGCCCUCCCGAGUAUGCUGAGACCCCAGACCCAAAUUAACCCCAGAGCCCUCCCGAGUAUGCUGAGACCCCAGACCCAAAUUAACCCCAGAGCCCUCCCGAGUAUGCUGAGACCCCAGACCCAAAUUAACCCCAGAGCCCUCCCGAGUAUGCUGAGACCCCAGACCCAAAUUAACCCCAGAGCCCUCCCGAGUAUGCUGAGACCCCAGACCCAAAUUAACCCCAGAGCCCUCCCGAGUAUGCUGAGACCCCAGACCCAAAUUAACCCCAGAGCCCUCCCGAGUAUGCUGAGACCCCAGACCCAAAUUAACCCCAGAGCCCUCCCGAGUAUGCUGAGACCCCAGACCCAAAUUAACCCCAGAGCCCUCCCGAGUAUGCUGAGACCCCAGACCCAAAUUAACCCCAGAGCCCUCCCGAGUAUGCUGAGACCCCAGACCCAAAUUAACCCCAGAGCCCUCCCGAGUAUGCUGAGACCCCAGACCCAAAUUAACCCCAGAGCCCUCCCGAGUAUGCUGAGACCCCAGACCCAAAUUAACCCCAGAGCCCUCCCGAGUAUGCUGAGACCCCAGACCCAAAUUAACCCCAGAGCCCUCCCGAGUAUGCUGAGACCCCAGACCCAAAUUAACCCCAGAGCCCUCCCGAGUAUGCUGAGACCCCAGACCCAAAUUAACCCCAGAGCCCUCCCGAGUAUGCUGAGACCCCAGACCCAAAUUAACCCCAGAGCCCUCCCGAGUAUGCUGAGACCCCAGACCCAAAUUAACCCCAGAGCCCUCCCGAGUAUGCUGAGACCCCAGACCCAAAUUAACCCCAGAGCCCUCCCGAGUAUGCUGAGACCCCAGACCCAAAUUAACCCCAGAGCCCUCCCGAGUAUGCUGAGACCCCAGACCCAAAUUAACCCCAGAGCCCUCCCGAGUAUGCUGAGACCCCAGACCCAAAUUAACCCCAGAGCCCUCCCGAGUAUGCUGAGACCCCAGACCCAAAUUAACCCCAGAGCCCUCCCGAGUAUGCUGAGACCCCAGACCCAAAUUAACCCCAGAGCCCUCCCGAGUAUGCUGAGACCCCAGACCCAAAUUAACCCCAGAGCCCUCCCGAGUAUGCUGAGACCCCAGACCCAAAUUAACCCCAGAGCCCUCCCGAGUAUGCUGAGACCCCAGACCCAAAUUAACCCCAGAGCCCUCCCGAGUAUGCUGAGACCCCAGACCCAAAUUAACCCCAGAGCCCUCCCGAGUAUGCUGAGACCCCAGACCCAAAUUAACCCCAGAGCCCUCCCGAGUAUGCUGAGACCCCAGACCCAAAUUAACCCCAGAGCCCUCCCGAGUAUGCUGAGACCCCAGACCCAAAUUAACCCCAGAGCCCUCCCGAGUAUGCUGAGACCCCAGACCCAAAUUAACCCCAGAGCCCUCCCGAGUAUGCUGAGACCCCAGACCCAAAUUAACCCCAGAGCCCUCCCGAGUAUGCUGAGACCCCAGACCCAAAUUAACCCCAGAGCCCUCCCGAGUAUGCUGAGACCCCAGACCCAAAUUAACCCCAGAGCCCUCCCGAGUAUGCUGAGACCCCAGACCCAAAUUAACCCCAGAGCCCUCCCGAGUAUGCUGAGACCCCAGACCCAAAUUAACCCCAGAGCCCUCCCGAGUAUGCUGAGACCCCAGACCCAAAUUAACCCCAGAGCCCUCCCGAGUAUGCUGAGACCCCAGACCCAAAUUAACCCCAGAGCCCUCCCGAGUAUGCUGAGACCCCAGACCCAAAUUAACCCCAGAGCCCUCCCGAGUAUGCUGAGACCCCAGACCCAAAUUAACCCCAGAGCCCUCCCGAGUAUGCUGAGACCCCAGACCCAAAUUAACCCCAGAGCCCUCCCGAGUAUGCUGAGACCCCAGACCCAAAUUAACCCCAGAGCCCUCCCGAGUAUGCUGAGACCCCAGACCCAAAUUAACCCCAGAGCCCUCCCGAGUAUGCUGAGACCCCAGACCCAAAUUAACCCCAGAGCCCUCCCGAGUAUGCUGAGACCCCAGACCCAAAUUAACCCCAGAGCCCUCCCGAGUAUGCUGAGACCCCAGACCCAAAUUAACCCCAGAGCCCUCCCGAGUAUGCUGAGACCCCAGACCCAAAUUAACCCCAGAGCCCUCCCGAGUAUGCUGAGACCCCAGACCCAAAUUAACCCCAGAGCCCUCCCGAGUAUGCUGAGACCCCAGACCCAAAUUAACCCCAGAGCCCUCCCGAGUAUGCUGAGACCCCAGACCCAAAUUAACCCCAGAGCCCUCCCGAGUAUGCUGAGACCCCAGACCCAAAUUAACCCCAGAGCCCUCCCGAGUAUGCUGAGACCCCAGACCCAAAUUAACCCCAGAGCCCUCCCGAGUAUGCUGAGACCCCAGACCCAAAUUAACCCCAGAGCCCUCCCGAGUAUGCUGAGACCCCAGACCCAAAUUAACCCCAGAGCCCUCCCGAGUAUGCUGAGACCCCAGACCCAAAUUAACCCCAGAGCCCUCCCGAGUAUGCUGAGACCCCAGACCCAAAUUAACCCCAGAGCCCUCCCGAGUAUGCUGAGACCCCAGACCCAAAUUAACCCCAGAGCCCUCCCGAGUAUGCUGAGACCCCAGACCCAAAUUAACCCCAGAGCCCUCCCGAGUAUGCUGAGACCCCAGACCCAAAUUAACCCCAGAGCCCUCCCGAGUAUGCUGAGACCCCAGACCCAAAUUAACCCCAGAGCCCUCCCGAGUAUGCUGAGACCCCAGACCCAAAUUAACCCCAGAGCCCUCCCGAGUAUGCUGAGACCCCAGACCCAAAUUAACCCCAGAGCCCUCCCGAGUAUGCUGAGACCCCAGACCCAAAUUAACCCCAGAGCCCUCCCGAGUAUGCUGAGACCCCAGACCCAAAUUAACCCCAGAGCCCUCCCGAGUAUGCUGAGACCCCAGACCCAAAUUAACCCCAGAGCCCUCCCCGAGUAUCCUGAGACCCCAGACCCAAAUUAGCUCCAGAGCCCUUCCGGAGUAUGUGGAGACCCCAGACCCAAAUUAACCUCAGAGCCCUCCAAGAGUAUCCUUAGACCCCAAACCCAAAUUAACCCCAGAGCCCUAGCCCCCCCCCCCCCCCCCCCCCCCCCCCCCCCCCCCCCCCCCCCCCCCCCCCCCCCCCCCCCCCCCCCCCCCCCCUCCCCGAGUGCCCUGAGACCCCAGACCCAAAUAAGCUCCAGAGCCUUUCCGGAUUAUGUGGAGACCCCAGACCCAAAUUAACGCCAGAGCCCUCCAUAGUAUCCUGAGACCCCACAACCAAAUUAAUCCCAGUCAAUGUGAAAAGAGGAGGGCAGGCAAGCAAGCAAGCAAGGAGGAUGAAACUUCAUGAUUUGAGGCUGUUAAUUGGACAGUUGACUUCUGUAUGCAAAUGGACUAAAACCUAUAAAAGACCCCAGACCCAAAUUAACCUCGGAGCCCUCCGCGAGAGCCCUGAGACCCCAGACCCAAAUUAACCCCAGAGCCCUCCACCCCCCCCCCCCCCCCCUGAGUGCCCUGAGACCCCAGACCCAAUUUAACCCCAGAGCCCUCCCCGAGUGCCCUGAGACCCCAGACCCAAAUUCACGCCAGAGCCCUCCCCGAAAGC
rnacentral:lncRNA from 12 species